UCAUAGGUAUUCAACUAUGGAAAGGCAAACACACACACACACACACACACACACACUGCUUGUCCUCAUCCUGGGCUCUGCUGACAAGCUCUGUAAAGCGUCUCUUCUUCCUAAUAGGGCAGUCAGUCAACUUUCCAAAGAUCAGGUGAGGACAUCAGAUUAGCUACGGCGGGAGCUGAGACUGGCCCAGACCUCUGGAUCUGUUUUGUCUGCUCUAUCUGGCUGUGGCAACCUUCCACAUUCUCAGCUAUUGCAAGCGACGACAACUUCAAAUAUCAACACAAGUCUGCGCAGCACCCUACCCUGACCUACAGCUGGAUCAUCAGGUACCCACCAACCUCCAGAGCCGUCCCACCUAUAUUGUUUCUGAGCAGCUUGUACCUUCUCAGACCCCAGGUUGUCAGCUUAAUGUCACCUCCAUCACCGCCAUUCAGGCCCCAGGCUGUCUGCCUCAGUAUAAUUGCUCCAUCUCUACCCUGCCCUAAGGCCAUCUGCCUGAAGAGUCCUGCUUCGCCCUGGCCUACUUUGCCCUUCCUCUGGGCCAUCUACUUGAGGUCUCCCGCUCCGUCCUUGUGCAUCUCGGAAAGCUGUGUCCACAGUGUGCAUUUGGGUCUCUCCUCUUUUGCCACUCUGCCUCUCUGUUGACAAUUUAGGUGUUAAAGACAUUACUAGCAAUUUCCCAUCCACAAAUAUGGUGCCUAUCCUUGGGUUGGUAUGUCAUUUGGGUUUCUAUAAAGUGGUUCCACACACGUUUAAGACUAUGCAGCCCAUCCCUGGGGAUAUAAAAGUAAUUUGAGUUGCUGUGUGGGCUGCAAAGAAACGUGAAGCUGCAGGAAAGUCUCGUGGGAACAGGUUGGUGGGACAGCCACAGAGCUAUGCCAGACUCCUGCAGGCGUCCCCGUCACUCAGAGGAGUGCUGGACUUGAUGUGAACACUUGACCCUAAUGGCUUCCACCCAAGACAGCUGAGUAUUUACGUGGCUUAUAUUUAUAACCAUAACAACUGCUUGCUGAGCAGUUUACACAAUAUUAUUUUAAAAAUCACACCUUUUCUGUACCUUUAGACCACAUAACAGUGAGUACAUUAUAGUUAUCGUGCAUCUUUGUAAGCUAUGUCUAUUGAAACUGCCAACAUCUCAUCAGAGAACAAAAUUCCAAGUGUUUGCAAUAUGUUUAUCAAUUAAUUAAACAGGAGGAGGAGUGAGAAGCA